UACGUAGGGUGCAAGCGUUGUCCGGAAUCAUUGGGCGUAAAGCGCGCGUAGGUGGCUUCGUAAGUCCGUUGUGAAAGUCAAAGGCUCAACCUUUGAAUGCCGAUGGAUACUGCGAAGCUAGAGUACGGAAGAGGCGAGUGGAAUUCCUGGUGUAGCGGUGGAAUGCGCAGAUAUCAAGGAGGAACACCAAUAGCGAAGGCAGCUCGCUGGGACGUUACUGACACUAAGGCGCGAAAGCGUGGGAGCGAACAGG
rnacentral:rRNA from 1 species